UUAAACGGCUGUUUCUUUUAAAAUUUUAGAUAAAAUUAGCCCUAGUCACAUCACAGGUAUAUUUUCGAGUAAUUUUGCAUAGCAACCAAACUGGUCCACCAAAUGCCAGUUAAUAGAUUUCAGCCGACACAGAGACAAGAUGAUUCUUCCUUAUUUAUUUAAAGUGGAAGAAGUUCAAAAAUCUGAAAUACAUACAUACAUAUUCUACACAGCAUUUCCUUUCUGAAUAAAAAUGAUCAAUUUUGACAGUGCAUUCAGGUUAUAGUAAAACACAGCGUUGAUAUAAAUGAAUCCGUGCCUACUUCGUGUUCCAACUAUAAUCUAGUCACUAGAGCGGGUAGGAAAGCUAAACAAAAUCCACUAUCCUGGUUUUUAGAGAGUCAGGAAAAGCUCUUUAAAAUAUUCCAG